rnacentral:rRNA from 2 species
GAUCCUGGCUCAGAUUGAACGCUGGCGGCAGGCCUAACACAUGCAAGUCGAGCGGUAACAGAGAGGAGCUUGCACCUUUGCUGACGAGCGGCGGACGGGUGAGUAAUGCUUGGGAAUAUGCCUUUUGGUGGGGGACAACAGUUGGAAACGACUGCUAAUACCGCAUGAUGUCUACGGACCAAAGUGGGGGACCUUCGGGCCUCACGCCAAGAGAUUAGCCCAAGUGGGAUUAGCUAGUUGGUAAGGUAAUGGCUUACCAAGGCGACGAUCCCUAGCUGGUUUGAGAGGAUGAUCAGCCACACUGGGACUGAGACACGGCCCAGACUCCUACGGGAGGCAGCAGUGGGGAAUAUUGCACAAUGGGCGCAAGCCUGAUGCAGCCAUGCCGCGUGUGUGAAGAAGGCCUUCGGGUUGUAAAGCACUUUCAGUAAGGAGGAAAGG